rnacentral:snRNA from 1 species
GUGUUGUAUGAAAGGAGAGAAGAUUAGCACUCCCCUUGACAAGAAUGGAUGAAU